rnacentral:rRNA from 1 species
GACGAACGCUGGCGGCGUGCUUAACACAUGCAAGUCGAACGGAAAGGCCCUGCUUUUGUGGGGUGCUCGAGUGGCGAACGGGUGAGUAACACGUGAGUAACCUGCCCUUGACUUUGGGAUAACUUCAGGAAACUGGGGCUAAUACCGGAUAGGAGCUCCUGCUGCAUGGUGGGGGUUGGAAAGUUUCGGCGGUUGGGGAUGGACUCGCGGCUUAUCAGCUUGUUGGUGGGGUAGUGGCUUACCAAGGCUUUGACGGGUAGCCGGCCUGAGAGGGUGACCGGCCACAUUGGGACUGAGAUACGGCCCAGACUCCUACGGGAGGCAGCAGUGGGGAAUAUUGCACAAUGGGCGGAAGCCUGAUGCAGCAACGCCGCGUGCGGGAUGACGGCCUUCGGGUUGUAAACCGCUUUCGCCUGUGACGAAGCGUGAGUGACGGUAAUGGGUAAAGAAGCACCGGCUAACUACGUGCCAGCAGCCGCGGUGAUACGUAGGGUGCGAGCGUUGUCCGGGUUUAUUGGGCGUAAAGGGCUCGUAGGUGGUUGAUCGCGUCGGAAGUGUAAUCUUGGGGCUUAACCCUGAGCGUGCUUUCGAUACGGGUUGACUUGAGGAAGGCAGGGGAGAAUGGAAUUCCUGGUGGAGCGGUGGAAUGCGCAGAUAUCAGGAGGAACACCAGUGGCGAAGGCGGUUCUCUGGGCCUUUCCUGACGCUGAGGAGCGAAAGCGUGGGGAGCGAACAGGCUUAGAUACCCUGGUAGUCCACGCUGUAAACGGUGGGUACUAGGUGUGGGGUCCAUUCCACGGGUUCCGUGCCGUAGCUAACGCUUUAAGUACCCCGCCUGGGGAGUACGGCCGCAAGGCUAAAACUCAAAGGAAUUGACGGGGCCCCGCACAAGCGGCGGAGCAUGCGGAUUAAUUCGAUGCAACGCGUAGAACCUUACCUGGGUUUGACAUGGAUCGGGAGUGCUCAGAGAUGGGUGUGCCUCUUUUGGGGUCGGUUCACAGGUGGUGCAUGGCUGUCGUCAGCUCGUGUCGUGAGAUGUUGGGUUAAGUCCCGCAACGAGCGCAACCCUUGUUCACUGUUGCCAGCACGUUAUGGUGGGGACUCAGUGGAGACCGCCGGGGUCAACUCGGAGGAAGGUGGGGAUGACGUCAAGUCAUCAUGCCCCUUAUGUCCAGGGCUUCACGCAUGCUACAAUGGCUGGUACAGAGAGUGGCGAGCCUGUGAGGGUGAGCGAAUCUCGGAAAGCCGGUCUCAGUUCGGAUUGGGGUCUGCAACUCGACCUCAUGAAGUCGGAGUCGCUAGUAAUCGCAGAUCAGCAACGCUGCGGUGAAUACGUUCCCGGGGCU